rnacentral:tRNA from 1 species
GCCUGGGUGGCUCAGUCGGUUAAGCGUCCGACUUCGGCUCAGGUCACGAUUUCACGGUUCGUGGGUUCGAGCCCCGCAUCGGGCU